GACGAACGCUGGCGGCGUGCUUAACACAUGCAAGUCGAACGGAAAGGCCGUGCUUUCGUGGGGUGCUGGAGUGGCGAAGGGGUGAGUAACACGUGUGUAACCUGCCCUUGACUUUGGGAUAACUUCAGGAAACUGGGGCUAAUACCGGAUAGGAGCUCCUGCUGCAUGGUGGGGGUUGGAAAGUUUCGGCGGUUGGGGAUGGACUCGCGGAUUAUCAGCUUGUUGGUGGGGUAGUGGCUUACCAAGGCUUUGACGGGUAGCCGGCCUGAGAGGGUGACCGGCCACAUGGGGACUGAGAUACGGCCCAGACUCCUACGGGAGGCAGCAGUGGGGAAUAUGGCACAAUGGGCGGAAGCCUGAUGCAGCAACGCCGCGUGCGGGAUGACGGCCUUCGGGUUGUAAACCGCUUUCGCCUGUGACGAAGCGUUAGUGACGGUAAUGGGAAAAGAAGCACCGGCUAACUACGUG
rnacentral:rRNA from 1 species